UAGGCUGAAGCCCGCUGGAUAGGGUGACUAGUUGUUAACUGGGUUUUUACGGGAUCGAGGCCCGUCGGCCUAGU
rnacentral:tRNA from 1 species